GGCGGCGGGCCUAACACAUGCAAGUCGAGCGGUAGAGAGAAGCUUGCUUCUCUUGAGAGCGGCGGACGGGUGAGUAAUGCCUAGGAAUCUGCCUGGUAGUGGGGGAUAACGUUCGGAAACGGACGCUAAUACCGCAUACGUCCUACGGGAGAAAGCAGGGGACCUUCGGGCCUUGCGCUAUCAGAUGAGCCUAGGUCGGAUUAGCUAGUUGGUGAGGUAAUGGCUCACCAAGGCGACGAUCCGUAACUGGUCUGAGAGGAUGAUCAGUCACACUGGAACUGAGACACGGUCCAGACUCCUACGGGAGGCAGCAGUGGGGAAUAUUGGACAAUGGGCGAAAGCCUGAUCCAGCCAUGCCGCGUGUGUGAAGAAGGUCUUCGGAUUGUAAAGCACUUUAAGUUGGGAGGAAGGGUUGUAGAUUAAUACUCUGCAAUUUUGACGUUACCGACAGAAUAAGCACCGGCUACUCUGUGCCAGCAGCCGCGGUAAUACAGAGGGUGCUAGCGUUAAUCGGAAUUACUGGGCGUAAAGCGCGCGUAGGUGGUUUGUUAAGUUGGAUGUGAAAUCCCCGGGCUCAACCUGGGAACUGCAUUCAAAACUGACUGACUAGAGUAUGGUAGAGGGUGGUGGAAUUUCCUGUGUAGCGGUGAAAUGCGUAGAUAUAGGAAGGAACACCAGUGGCGAAGGCGACCACCUGGACUAAUACUGACACUGAGGUGCGAAAGCGUGGGGAGCAAACAG
rnacentral:rRNA from 1 species